GAACGCUGGCGGCGUGCCUAAUACAUGCAAGUCGAGCGAAUUGAAGGGAGCUUGCUCCCUGAUAUUAGCGGCGGACGGGUGAGUAACACGUGGGCAACCUGCCCUGCAGAUGGGGAUAACUCCGGGAAACCGGGGCUAAUACCGAAUAAUCAGUUCUUCCGCAUGGGAGAAUUCUGAAAGACGGUUUCGGCUGUCACUGCAGGAUGGGCCCGCGGCGCAUUAGCUAGUUGGUGGGAUAACGGCCUACCAAGGCAACGAUGCGUAGCCGACCUGAGAGGGUGAUCGGCCACACUGGGACUGAGACACGGCCCAGACUCCUACGGGAGGCAGCAGUAGGGAAUCUUCCACAAUGGACGAAAGUCUGAUGGAGCAACGCCGCGUGAGCGAAGAAGGUUUUCGGAUCGUAAAGCUCUGUUGCGAGGGAAGAACAAGUACGGGAGUAACUGCCCGUACCUUGACGGUACCUCGUCAGAAAGCCACGGCUAACUACGUGCCAGCAGCCGCGGUAAUACGUAGGUGGCAAGCGUUGUCCGGAAUUAUUGGGCGUAAAGCGCGCGCAGGCGGUCCUUUAAGUCUGAUGUGAAAGCCCACGGCUCAACCGUGGAGGGUCAUUGGAAACUGGAGGACUUGAGUACAGAAGAGGAAAGCGGAAUUCCACGUGUAGCGGUGAAAUGCGUAGAGAUGUGGAGGAACACCAGUGGCGAAGGCGGCUUUCUGGUCUGUAACUGACGCUGAGGCGCGAAAGCGUGGGGAGCAAACAGGAUUAGAUACCCUGGUAGUCCACGCCGUAAACGAUGAGUGCUAAGUGUUAGGGGGUUUCCGCCCCUUAGUGCUGCAGCUAACGCAUUAAGCACUCCGCCUGGGGAGUACGGCCGCAAGGCUGAAACUCAAAGGAAUUGACGGGGACCCGC
rnacentral:rRNA from 1 species